rnacentral:rRNA from 1 species
AUUGAACGCUGGCGGCAGGCCUAACACAUGCAAGUCGAACGGUAACAGGAAGCAGCUUGCUGCUUUGCUGACGAGUGGCGGACGGGUGAGUAAUGUCUGGGAAACUGCCCGAUGGAGGGGGAUAACUACUGGAAACGGUAGCUAAUACCGCAUAACGUCGCAAGACCAAAGAGGGGGACCUUAGGGCCUCUUGCCAUCGGAUGUGCCCAGAUGGGAUUAGCUAGUAGGUGGGGUAACGGCUCACCUAGGCGACGAUCCCUAGCUGGUCUGAGAGGAUGACCAGCCACACUGGAACUGAGACACGGUCCAGACUCCUACGGGAGGCAGCAGUGGGGAAUAUUGCACAAUGGGCGCAAGCCUGAUGCAGCCAUGCCGCGUGUAUGAAGAAGGCCAUCGGGUUGUAAAGUACUUUCAGCGGGGAGGAAGGGAGUAAAGUUAAUACCUUUGCUCAUUGACGUUACCCGCAGAAGAAGCACCGGCUAACUCCGUG